rnacentral:rRNA from 4 species
CGAAAGGACCAUAAUUAUAUAAUAAUUAUUUUUUAUUGAUUAAUAUUAA